rnacentral:lncRNA from 1 species
UUCGAAGUCUGAAACAUAUCCUUCGACAGAGGAAUCUUUUCGAAAGACUAGUGUCCGAAAGAUUAGGAUCCUUCGUAUUGGUGAAUCUUUCGAGAUCUAUUGUUCGAAAGAUAAGGAUUUGGCUCGAAAGAUAAGGAUCUUUCAAAGGGAAUCUUUCGAGUUCUUGAAUCUUUCGAAAUCAUUGUUCGAGAGUCAACAGUAAUCUUUCGAGUACUGUUGAUCCUUCGAACAAGGUUAUAUCUUUCGAUUGAGGAUUGGAUGGAAAGUACUGGAAGAACCAGCUUGGAGAGUGGCAACCACGUCUAA